rnacentral:lncRNA from 10 species
CAGGUCAGCUGGAAGGGAAGGCACGCCUCUCCAUACCGAGUCAGAGGUUCACCGCGAAAGAGAGGGCGCCAUCCUGCCCCCACCCCGCCCCAACCCCGCUCCAACCUGCUCCUCCAGCAGAGCCCGGUGUUCUUCCUGGCUGAGGAGUGGUUCCAGCAGAGCGGGCUCUUCCACGUCCUUCAGCUCCCCCAGUGGCGCCGGAUCUAGGAAAGGUCGUGCCUUUUGCUGAAACUCUGGUGUCUACAGGAGCUCAUAUAACAGGCUGGAGAAAACGAGAGCGAAACUGCAGAGAAAAGAAACGUCGGGUGCAUCACGGCCUGACCACGGAUUCCUGUUUCCUGCAACAAGGGGAGUCUCCACUGUGGCCGGUCUGGAAACCGGAAAGGAGAGCGAAGUCACGAUGCUGCUUUUCCACGCUUCGCUGGAGGUUUCUGUGUCCCCGCAGAGCUCGGGAAACAGCCAACGUGGUCGCGCUUUCGGGGGCGGGAGACACGCGAGCAACAGGUCCCCUUGCAGAGGGCGAAGGAGCGUGGAACCCGGAAUCACGGUUCACUCGGCCCGAGUGUGACUCCCGUGUGGACGGGCCUGUCCGCCUCGCGCUCUGUUGCUCAACGCGGGGCCGUGUCGUCUGUGAACCACGUGGAUGGAAAACGGACAAUCACCCGCGUCUCGGCUCAUUGCUCUCAUUCCUUGGGAGGCGGAAUUCGUCCGAAUUGCUCCGGGAUGAAGUGACCCGGGCCGGCGAUCCGGAGGGCUGGUGAGCUGGUGGGCGCCCCGCAAGCAGACGCGGCUGUGGGCCGAGCUCUCGGCCUGCACCGGGCACCCCACGUUUUCCCGGAGUGCGAGGUCCCGCUGGCCCUGGAGGCGGAAGACCGCUUUCCUCUCUGCUUUCC